UCCCGAUUCGGACGACCAUGAAACGACCCGACCACUCACUGGUCGUCGCAUCCGCCAACGCGCUGUGCACGGCCCCCGGCACACUCACGACCCGCCGCUACCUUUCUGCAUGUCGACGCUCACUCGCUGCCGGCCGCGACACCAGAGCAACAUGCCCGCCUGCCGGUUUCAGCAGUCGCGGCAGCCGACGCCACGGCACGCUUCAGCCGGCGUCUCGGCAGUCAACACGGCUAACGCAGCCUCAAUUCCUGGGACCCUCCGAUCUCGCGCUCCCGUGCCGGUUGCGGCACCCCAGGCCACGACUCUGACGCCCAACGAGUUCGCCCCUCAUCUGACCCGCUCAUCGACAGCUUCUCGCUGCGGGUAUUGGGCCGUACCACGAACACGUCCAGUAGUGUACGUCAUCCACGGUCGCUCUUGCUCUCUCCCUCCUGUGUCGACGUGGUUCUUCGUUGUUCCUUGUCGGCGCUCCGCGUCUGAAGGGGGAGCACGUAGCGGGCUGUGGAAAUACGACGAAGAUAGCCACGCGCCUGGAGCAUCGGUCCUCAGUUCCACCGGCGCGGCCAUGGAGAUAGGCCACCGUCAUCGCCUCUCCGUGGCAUACCAUUAUUGCCGGUGGCAAUCCACAGGUCUUGGGUUUCGUGAAUGCUUAUACUGAAUGUGGCAACUGCACCAUCGCCAUGUUACCUACAAUUCACCCGGACGCCUGUGCAUUGUUCGUGAAUAACCCGGACGUCCAUCCGAGUCGCUGCUGUCUCUUUGCAUAUGCGCUCUUCUGUGGAAGCACCAAGAUCCCAAGUUACGAAAAGGACAAAUGCGCCAAUGUGUAAACCAUUACUUUGCCUAUAAGCUGUUCACGGUGUUUGGCCUGUGUGAAGCCUAAGCUUCGAGCUGCCAAUAAAUCACGUGUCUUCAGAAUGCUACCUAAAGCAUGUAUAAUCAUAAAUAUAUUAUACAACUGGCUUACAUCACAUUAGUCUGGCCUCGGUUGGAGUAUGCCUCUGCCGUAUGGGAUCCAUCUACUGCUUACCGUGUACGCGACCUCGAAGCCGUUCAAAACCGCGCAACCAGGUUCAUCACUAGUAACUAUUCACCAUAUGCAAGUAUCUCUUCAUUAAAAAGACGUGGCCGAACG